rnacentral:rRNA from 1 species
AUUGAACGCUGGCGGCAUGCCUUACACAUGCAAGUCGAACGGUAACAGGUCUUCGGAUGCUGACGAGUGGCGAACGGGUGAGUAAUACAUCGGAACGUGCCUAGUAGUGGGGAUAACUACUCGAAAGAGUGGCUAAUACCGCAUGAGAUCUACGGAUGACAGCAGGGGAUCGCAAGACCUUGUGCUACUAGAGCGGCAGAUGGCAGAUUAGGUAGUUGGUGGGAUAAAAGCUUACCAAGCCGACGAUCUGUAGCUGGUCGGAGAGGACGAUCAGCCACACUGGGACUGAGACACGGCCCAGACUCCUACGGGAGGCAGCAGUGGGGAAUUUUGGACAAUGGGCGAAAGCCUGAUCCAGCAAUGCCGCGUGCAGGAUGAAGGCCUUCGGGUUGUAAACUGCUUUUGUACGGAACGAAAAGCCCCGGGUUAAUACCCUGGGGUCAUGACGGUACCGUAAGAAUAAGCACCGGCUAACUACGUGCCAGCAGCCGCCGUAA